rnacentral:rRNA from 1 species
AUGAACGCUGGCGGCGUGCCUAAUACAUGCAAGUCGAGCGAACGGACGAGAAGCUUGCUUCUCUGAUGUUAGCGGCGGACGGGUGAGUAACACGUGGAUAACCUACCUAUAAGACUGGGAUAACUUCGGGAAACCGGAGCUAAUACCGGAUGAUAUUUUGAACCGCAUGGUUCAAAAGUGAAAGACGGUCUUGCUGUCACUUAUAGAUGGAUCCGCGCCGCAUUAGCUAGUUGGUAAGGUAACGGCUUACCAAGGCAACGAUGCAUAGCCGACCUGAGAGGGUGAUCGGCCACACUGGAACUGAGGCACGGUCCAGACUCCUACGGGAGGCAGCAGUAGGGAAUCUUCCGCAAUGGGCGAAAGCCUGACGGAGCAACGCCGCGUGAGUGAUGAAGGUCUUCGGAUCGUAAAACUCUGUUAUUAGGGAAGAACAUAUGUGUAAGUAACUGUGCACAUCUUGACGGUACCUAAUCAGAAAGCCACGGCUAACUACGUG